rnacentral:rRNA from 1 species
AUUGAACGCUGGCGGCAGGCCUAACACAUGCAAGUCGAACGAGUGGCGGACGGGUGAGUAAUGUCUGGGAAACUGCCCGAUGGAGGGGGUUAACUACUGGAAACGGUAGCUAAUAUCGCAUACCAUCGGAUGUGCCCAGAUGGGAUUAGCUAGUAGGUGGGGUAACGGCUCACCUAGUCGAUGAUCCCUAGCUGGUCUGAGAGGAUGACCAGCCACACUGGACAUGAGACACGGUCCAGACGCCUACGGGAGCCAGCAGUGGGGAAUAUGGCACAAUGGGCGCAAGCCUGAUGCAGCGAUGCCGCGUGUGUGAAGAAGGCCUUCGGGUUGUAAAGUACUUUCAGCGAGGAGGCGUUACUCGCAGAAGAAGCACCGGCUAACUCCGUGCCAGCAGCCGCGGUAAUUC